GGUUUUAUUUCAACCAAAAUUGCCCAAAAUGAACAUGGAUGGUUCCUUUUAAUACUCUUCUCAAGUAAAAUGAAGGAUCAGUGCACCACUUUCAUUAA